GUUAUAUGGUCAAGCGAAUAAGCGCACACGGUGGAUGCCUUGGCGGUCAGAGGCGAUGAAGGACGUGGCAGCCUGCGAAAAGUAUCGGGGAGCUGGCAACAAGCUUUGAUCCGGUAAUGUCCGAAUGGGGAAACCCACCCGCUUGCGGGUAUCCUGCAGUGAAUACAUAGCUGCUGGAAGCGAACCUGGUGAACUGAAAUAUCUAAGUAACCAGAGGAAAAGAAAUCAACCGAGAUUCCGUAAGUAGCGACGAGCGAACGCGGACUAGCCCUUAAGCUGAUUUGGUUCUAGGAAAACGCUCUGGAAAGAGCGGCCAUAGAAGGUGAUAGCCCUGUAUCUGAAAGGGCCAUUUCAGUGAAGACGAGUAGGGCGGGGCACGUGAAACCCUGUCUGAACAUGGGGGGACCAUCCUCCAAGGCUAAAUACUACUGACCGACCGAUAGUGAACCAGUACCGUGAGGGAAAGGCGAAAAGAACCCCGGAGAGGGGAGUGAAAUAGAUCCUGAAACCGUGUGCGUACAAGCAGUAGGAGCUCCGCAAGGAGUGACUGCGUACCUUUUGUAUAAUGGGUCAGCGACUUACUGUUCGUGGCAAGCUUAACCGUAUAGGGGAGGCGAAGGGAAACCGAGUCUGAUAAGGGCGCAUAGUCGCGGGCAGUAGACCCGAAACCGGGUGAUCUAGUCAUGGCCAGGGUGAAGGUGCCGUAACAGGUACUGGAGGCCCGAACCCACGUCUGUUGCAAAAGACGGGGAUGAGCUGUGAUUAGGAGUGAAAAGCUAAUCGAACCCGGAGAUAGCUGGUUCUCCUCGAAAGCUAUUUAGGUAGCGCCUCAUAUGUAUCCUCUCGGGGGUAGAGCACUGUUAUGGCUAGGGGGUCAUCGCGACUUACCAAACCAUUGCAAACUCCGAAUACCGAGACGGACUGUAUGGGAGACACACGGCGGGUGCUAACGUCCGUCGUGAAAAGGGAAACAACCCAGACCCACAGCUAAGGUCCCAAAUUUUGUGCUAAGUGGAAAACCAUGUGGAAAGGCACAGACAGCCAGGAGGUUGGCUUAGAAGCAGCCACCCUUUAAAGAAAGCGUAAUAGCUCACUGGUCGAGUCGGUCUGCGGGGAAGAUUUAACGGGGCUAAGCACAAAACCGAAGCUUGGGGUGCAUAACUUUGUUAUGCGCGGUAGAGGAGCGUUCCGUAAGCCGUUGAAGGUGGAUUGAGAAGUCUGCUGGAGGUAUCGGAAGUGCGAAUGCUGACAUGAGUAACGAUAAUGCGGGUGAAAAACCCGCACGCCGAAAGCCCAAGGUUUCCUUGCGCAACGUUAAUCGGCGCAGGGUGAGUCGGCCCCUAAGGCGAGGACGAAAGUCGUAGUCGAUGGAAAGCAGGUUAAUAUUCCUGCACCUCGCGUAAGUGCGAUGGAGGGACGGAGAAGGUUAGGUGUACCAGGCGUUGGUUGUCCUGGGGAAAGGCGGUAGGUUUGGAUCUUUGGCAAAUCCGGGAUCCUUUAAGACCGAGCACCGAGACGAGUCUUUAUGACAAAGUCACUGAUACCACGCUUCCAGGAAAAGCUCCUAAGCUUCAGCUUACGCAGACCGUACCGUAAACCGACACAGGUGGGUAGGAUGAGAAUUCUCAGGCGCUUGAGAGAACUCGGGUGAAGGAACUAGGCAACAUGGCACCGUAACUUCGGGAGAAGGUGCACCCUUUUUGGUGGCUCGUGCGAGCUAUAGCUGAAGAGGGUCGCAGUAACCAGGCCGCUGCGACUGUUUAUCAAAAACACAGCACUCUGCAAACACGAAAGUGGACGUAUAGGGUGUGACGCCUGCCCGGUGCUGGAAGGUUAAUUGAUGGGGUCAGCCGCAAGGCGAAGCUCUUGAUCGAAGCCCCAGUAAACGGCGGCCGUAACUAUAACGGUCCUAAGGUAGCGAAAUUCCUUGUCGGGUAAGUUCCGACCUGCACGAAUGGCGUAACGACAGCGGCGCUGUCUCCACCCGAGACUCAGUGAAAUUGAAAUCGCUGUGAAGAUGCAGCGUUCCCGUGGCAAGACGGAAAGACCCCGUGAACCUUUACUAUAGCUUUACACUGAACGUUGAGUUCGUCUGUGUAGGAUAGGUGGGAGGCUAUGAAACUGUGGCGCUAGCUGCAGUGGAGCCAUCCUUGAAAUACCACCCUGUCGUGCUUGACGUUCUAACCUGGGCCCAUUAUCUGGGUCGGGGACCGUGUAUGGUGGGUAGUUUGACUGGGGCGGUCUCCUCCUAAAGAGUAACGGAGGAGCUCGAAGGUACGCUCAGCGCGGUCGGACAUCGCGCACUGUGUGCAAAGGCAUAAGCGUGCUUGACUGCAAGAUCGACGGAUCAAGCAGGUAGGAAACUAGGACUUAGUGAUCCGGUGGUUCUGUAUGGAAGGGCCAUCGCUCAACGGAUAAAAGGUACUCCGGGGAUAACAGGCUGAUACCGCCCAAGAGUUCAUAUCGACGGCGGUGUUUGGCACCUCGAUGUCGGCUCAUCACAUCCUGGGGCUGUAGUCGGUCCCAAGGGUAUGGCUGUUCGCCAUUUAAAGUGGUACGCGAGCUGGGUUCAGAACGUCGUGAGACAGUUCGGUCCCUAUCUGCCAUGGGCGUUGGAGAUUUGAGAGGGGCUGCUCCUAGUACGAGAGGACCGGAGUGGACGAACCUCUGGUGUUCCGGUUGUCACGCCAGUGGCAUUGCCGGGUAGCUAUGUUCGGAAGCGAUAACCGCUGAAAGCAUCUAAGCGGGAAGCGCGCCUCAAGAUGAGAUCUCCCGGGGCACAAGCCCCCUGAAGGAACCAUAUAGACUAUGUGGUUGAUAGGUCAGGUGUGUAAGUACAGCAAUGUAUUGAGCUAACUGAUACUAAUGAUCCGUGUGGCUUGACCAUAUAACCU
rnacentral:rRNA from 1 species